rnacentral:rRNA from 1 species
GACGAGGGACCUAGCGUUGUUCGGAAUCAUUGGGCGUAAAGCGGGUGUAGGUGGUCUGAUAAGUCAGAUGUGAAAGCCCAGGGCUUAACCCUGGAAGUGCAUUUGAUACUGUUAGGCUUGAGUGUGGGAGAGGAUAGCAGAAUUCCUGGUGUAGUGGUGAAAUACGUAGAUAUCAGGAGGAAUCACCGGAGGCGAAGGCGGACUCUGGUCGUCCAAC